GAGGGGUGGCAGAGCGGUUGAAUGCACCGGUCUUGAAAACCGGCAAGGGUGAAAGCCCUUCGAGGGUUCGAAUCCCUCCUCCUCC
rnacentral:tRNA from 1 species